rnacentral:rRNA from 1 species
UAACGACGCUCAUGCUCGAAGGCGCGGGUAUCAAACAGGAUUAGAUACCCUGGUAGUCCGCGCGGUAAACGAUGAACACUCGGGAUUUGCCUUUUGAGGGUGAGUCCCCCAGCGAAAGCGUUAAGUGUUCCACCUGGGGAGUACGCCGGCAACGGUGAAACUCAAAGGAAUUGACGGGGGCCCGCACAAGCGGAGGAACAUGUGGUUUAAUUCGAUGAUACGCGAGGAACCUUACCCGGGCUUGAAAUGUGCAUGACAGCGGAGAGAGACCUCCGCUUCCUUCGGGCAUGCAUGUAGGUGCUGCAUGGUUGUCGUCAGCUCGUGCCGUGAGGUGUCGGCUUAAGUGCCAUAACGAGCGCAACCCUUUCCGCCGGUUGCCACCGCGUCGUGGCGGGCACUCCGGCGGCACUGCCGCCGCAAGGCGUGAGGAAGGCGGGGAUGACGUCAAAUCAGCACGGCCCUUACGUCCGGGGCCACACACGUGUUACAAUGGGGGGCACAGCGAGCUGGACCAGGGCGACCUGGUUCGAAUCAUGAAAUCCCCUCCCAGUUCGGACUGGAGUCUGCAACCCGACUCCACGAAGCCGGAUUCGCUAGUAAU